GAAUCAAAAUAAAGAUUAAGCUUCUAACUUAUAUCUAAAGCAGAUAAAUACUGUUUAUGAUUCU
rnacentral:tRNA from 2 species